rnacentral:rRNA from 1 species
UACGAAGGGUGCGAGCGUUGUUCGGAAUUAUUGGGCGUAAAGGGUUCGUAGGCGGGCAUGCAAGUCAAGUGUGAAAACCCUGGGCUUAACCUUGGGCGUGCAUUUGAAACUGCGUAUCUUGAGUAUUGGAGAGGGUGGUGGAAUUGCUGGUGUAGGAGUGACAUCCGUAGAGAUCAGCAGGAACACCGGAGGCGAAGGCGACCACCUGGCCGAAUACUGACGCUGAGGAACGAAAGCGUGGGGAGCAAACAGG